GGUGUAUCCCUCCGCGGCCACAACAAAAAUGCAAAUUGGAAUUUCGUCGUGAAUUUGAAAUGCUUUUAAUGGAUAUAAUGGACUCGAGAGACUUGAACUAAAGUCUGGAACAACAAAAAAGCGGAGUUGAGGAAUCACAAGUACAGUAUAAUGACUGCUAUCAACAUGCCGCAAUUAAACAUUUGCAAAUCCAUGGAUCAAAGGGAGAAGCUUCUUCCCGAAGUCUAUCUGAUUUCUUUCUGUUACGCAUGAGGAGACGAGACGGGCCUUUAAUGUUCACAUUGCCUCGCCUCUCGAAAUUAAACGGAUGUCAGCGAAAUAAAAACAAGGUUUGAGUG
rnacentral:lncRNA from 1 species